rnacentral:rRNA from 1 species
AUAGCUCGCCGAAAGGCGAAUUAAUACCGCAUGUGGUAGCAAUACUAAAGGCGGGGCAACCUGGCGCUUCUUGAUGGGCUCGCGGCCUAUCAGCUAGUUGGUGAGGUAAUAGCUCACCAAGGCUAUGACGGGUAGCUGGUCUGAGAGGACGACCAGCCACACUGGAACUGAGACACGGCCCAGACUCCUACGGGAGGCAGCAGUGGGGAAUCUUGCGCAAUGGGCGAAAGCCUGACGCAGCGAUGCCGCGUGCGGGAUGAAGGCCUUCGGGUUGUAAACCGCUUUCAGCAGGGACGAAAUUGACGGUACCUGCAGAAGAAGCCCGGCCAACUACGUGCCAGCAGCCGCGG